CAUAUCUAACAUGCCCCUCUGUGGGGGAUAGCCGCUUGAAAAAGCGAUUAAUACCCCAUAGGAAGCUUUAUCUAUGAUUUAGCUUUUAAAGCCUUCGGGCGCUGAGGGAUUGGGAUAUGCUCUAUUAGCUAGUUGGCGGGAUAAAAGCCCACCAAGGCAAUGAUAGAUAGCUGGUCUUAGAGGAUGAACAGCCACAAUGGGAUUGAGAUACGGCCCAUAUUCCUACGGGAAGCAGCAGUAGGGAAUCUUCCACAAUGGACGAAAGUCUGAUGGAGCAAUACCAUGUGAACGAUGAAGGCCUUUUUGGUUGUAAAGUUCUUUUAC
rnacentral:rRNA from 1 species